rnacentral:misc_RNA from 1 species
AACGCAUAUUGCGCCCUUUGGCAUUCCGAAGGGCAUGCCUGUUCGAGCGUCAUUAUCAACCAUCAAGCCUAGCUUGUCGUUGGACUCGUGGUCGCCAUGACCGGUCCGAAAGAUAAUGGACGGCGGUGAUUACCCCCGAUGCAACGAGCUUUUGAUAGCACGCAUGGAAGGGUUGGUCAUCCCGGCCUCACACUUUAUUUUCUCAGGUUGACUUCGGAUCAGGUAGGAAUACCCGCUGAACUUAA